AGGACGAACGCUGGCGGCGUGCCUAACACAUGCAAGUCGAACGGGACCAGGGGCAACUCUGGUUCAGUGGCGGACGGGUGCGUAACACGUGAGGAACAUGACCUUCGGCGGGGGAUAGCCGGCCCAACGGCCGGGUAAUACCGCGUACGACCACUUUGGGACAUCCCUGGGUGGUGAAAGCAGCAAUGCGCCGAUGGAGUGCCUCGCGGCCUAUCAGCUAGUUGGUGAGGUAACGGCUCACCAAGGCGACGACGGGUAGC
rnacentral:rRNA from 1 species